ensembl:lncRNA
AUGUGUCAUGUUGUCCGUACUCAUGUCAUCUCUUGCUCUUUUACAGAAGUCACAAUGGAUAUGACUUUGUUAUCCAUCACAGUGUGGCUCACUCAGUUCCUCAUUGCUUCAGCUCUUUAUUUCAACACACUGCCAGCAAACACCCUGAGCGACUACAGUGAAACCACACAAAUAACUCCAGCAACAACAAUAACAAACCCAGAACCUAAGAUCCUUAUAUAUGCAACCUCUUCAUCACCUCUGACUGCAACAUCACAGGACAGCAUAACAAAUUUGCCCAGUGAAGUGCAUACACAGCCAAAUAUAACCCCAGAUGUGACACUCACACAGGAAACAGCAUCCCUACAUCAAGACAACAGCAGUAGUCCAUCUCAAAAUGACAUGAUGGAUGAUGGUGUAAGUGUUAGCCAUGCUAUUAAUGUUUCUAUGAGCCACGCGAAUACAAGUCAUACAACAGUUUCCACUAACUUUGCAAGACUGAUGCCACAAAAGGACGUCAGUAAUGAAACAGGAACUAUGUCAAGUGUGAGUUACAACUAUAAUGUUCAGACUGCAGACACCUUAUCAGACCCAGUCAACAGUGCCUCGACAGUUCCCUGGAGACAUUCGACAGAGAAAGAGGAUGAGAGAACGAAGGCCGAUGAACGAAAUUAUGAAACUAACUCCACCCAGGCCACAUUUGCUAAUACGAACAAGGAGUUGAGAGAAACCCAAGGCACUGAGGGAACUUACAGUUUCACAAGUGAACAUAGUGAGGAACAUUACGACACAGCAGUGAACACAACUGAUGUAAGUACUACAACAGCAACAGGGAGUAACGAAUGGUCAAUUUCACAAAACACAGAUAUUCCUAUGACCACACCGGCUUACACAACAGCACAAGACCCCACGGUUACAGAUGUGCCUGAAUAUCACACCUCAACAGGUGGCGCAAAACACUCUACGACCCCACAGAAUAUAUACAAGUUCACAAACUCUACAGCACCCACAGGAAGAGAAAACAGGACAGGAACAGACACACCCGGUGGUACCACCACCAACGUCAACAUCUCUGUUAUAACAGAUGCCCUAACUGACAACAGCCUAAAUGCCACCACAAACAGAACAAACAAAACUGACACAGAAAACAAAGCGUGGCCUGCAUGUUUGAACCCAAACCCAGAAUCUCAUUCUAGACAAUCCAUGCUGGUCUGCUUCAUCACACUGUGGAGUUUAGCAAUGACUGCCACCAUAUUUCUGGGAAUAACCAUUUUCCUUUUGGUUCGUCUGUCUGUCUUCAAAAAAAAGAUGAAGCGGAGAGUGAAAGGAGGUCAGACGUGUGAGAAGGAGAGCCUCUGGGCCGACCCCAAAGCUUCAGUGCAGGAGAGAGUGGAGUUCUGGUACAUCAAUGGAUCCACGCUGGAGGCCGAUAGGAAAGAGAAGGACAGAGGGAGACAGAAGAAGAUGAAGGGAAGAGGACAGGAACAGGAUAAUGAGGAGAACGGGCUGUGGAUUCAGCCUAGAGUGACUGUCGAUGACAUAACAGAGUUCUGGUACGCAAACAGACGCUUGAAGGAAGAGAGGAUGCAGCACUUGUAG